GACGAACGCUGGCGGCGUGCCUAAUACAUGCAAGUCGAGCGGACCAAAGGGAGCUUGCUCCUGGAGGUUAGCGGCGAACGGGUGAGUAACACGUGGGCAACCUGCCUGUAAGACUGGGAUAACAUCGAGAAAUCGGUGCUAAUACCGGAUAAUAAAAAGAACUGCAUGGUUCUUUUUUGAAAGAUGGUUUCGGCUAUCACUUACAGAUGGGCCCGCGGCGCAUUAGCUAGUUGGUGAGGUAACGGCUCACCAAGGCAACGAUGCGUAGCCGACCUGAGAGGGUGAUCGGCCACACUGGGACUGAGACACGGCCCAGACUCCUACGGGAGGCAGCAGUAGGGAAUCUUCCGCAAUGGACGAGAGUCUGACGGAGCAACGCCGCGUGAGUGAUGAAGGUUUUCGGAUCGUAAAACUCUGUUGUUAGGGAAGAACAAGUGCCGUUCGAAAGGGCGGCACCUUGACGGUACCUAACGAGAAAGCCACGGCUAACUACGUGCCAGCAGCCGCGGUAAAG
rnacentral:rRNA from 1 species